GUGUGUGUGUGUCUUAUUUUUGCCUUCGAUCUGUAGCCACAUGGCUGUGUUCCCUUUCUGUUUGUUUUCCCAUUUCCCUUCUAAAUAUUUUACAUCAUCUGGGAGACGUUGCCAGGCCGAGGUCGGCUCGCUGGAGGACUGCAUUCCUCUGAUCUGUGGCAUUAGGUUGUUGCCAUAGCAAAGGCUGCUUACCAGGAGGAACACUUCUCGGAGCUGGGCAAUUCCGAGCUCCUUUCUUCCUCUCCUCCACAUGCUUGGAUAUUCUGACACCCACACCGGCCCAGAGAGGGCUUUCUCCAAUCGUAAACUAUGUUCCUGGAACGUGAACUUCAUUUUGUUUGCCUUUCAAGAUACAGAACUAUUUGGCUCUGUUUAUUUUUGUUCCAAAUGGGCAGGGCCCUCUUGCCUGUUCUGACUAAUCCACUUGUCAGGGCUGGAAUCUCCUAACAGUUCCUUCCUCCAGGCAAUGAAGCUACUUAAGUCUGGAGUUUACCAAUUUCAUGGAAAAUUCUAAGCUCUUUGAAAUAAAAAUAAAGAACUGAUCCAUUACUCUUUAAGGCUGGCCUGGCUACUUCCCAAAAUAGGAUCAGAGCUCCAAGAAAGCAGAGAGACAAGCAAGGUCUGUUGAAGCCCAAGCCUGGAGCUGACACUAGCCCAUUCAAUACCUCAAAUUGGACCAAGGAAAUAACAGCAGUACAGACAAAGGGGAGGAAAAUGGACUGCAUUUUUCUUGGGAAGAACUGCAAAGAGUUAUGGAAUUCUUGGAAUUAACCAGUAAAGAGACGUACACCAAUCCCCCACCCUGAUCCAUGACACUCUCUAAUCAGUAGUUCAUGAUGAGAACCUAACCCAGCUUUGAAAAGGAAAAUAAUUAAAUCCAGUAUUGUAGCACAUCCCGGGUACUGGGCUGUAAAGAAGUAUUUCUUUGUGUCCAGCAAAGCACCGCUAGCAAUAAUCUGCUGAAGUAUGUCAUUGCGAAAUUCUUGAUGAUGCCGUCAGGUGCUUAGUAAAUGGUGUGAUGAUCUCUGCACCGUUUACUUCCCUGUACACUGAUUUUUUGAUAAUGGUGCUCACCAUCGAUGAUAAUUGUUUUCUAUGUGUAGGCUACAGACAUGAUGCGUUAAAGCAUUAGUUUCAAUUAUACUCUUACUCUCUGUCUACUGGCACGCUCAGUUGAGGAUGGGGAAAUGGUAAAGUUUAGACUCUAAACUUUAGAGGGUUCAGUAACUAUCAGUUAUGCACCUAGAGGAAGCGAGCACCAAGAACAAACUUCAAGAUACAUUAAAAAUCCUGAUACGAUUCUGGGUCUCUGGACAUGUAUUUAUUAGUGCUAAGAGGCACGUACGCAUCCUUAACAGAGAAUUUAAAAAAAAAGUCAGCAAUUACAGAGCACUAUCGGCAUCUCACAGAUUAGUUUAUCAAAACCAAAGAUGGAGAGGGGAAAAAAACCUGUCAAAAUCAACAGGCAAGUAUCAAAGCUGGAACUGAAGUGUGCAUGUGGAAACACUAAGCUCUGUAUUGCUUCCCUUGAACUCCUGUGUUACAGAAGAGUACGGCAGUGGUCAGUGCCCUCUGACUGAAUUCAUCUGGUUCUUAGAAUCACACGAAAUAACAAUUCUAUUGCCUUGUUUUUGGCAUCUAAAGAAUGUGGAGUUGGAGUAAGUGUGUUUUGUCUCCCCUUCCCUUACAUUUGGGCCCAUUUCUUUUUGGACACUUGUAUCCUAUUAGCACUGACAUAUUUUAACACUUGCACUAUGGCCUGAACACUUCUGUAACAAACUCUGAAUUUGUUAUAAUAUUUAAUAGGACACACUUUGUAGCCUACCUUCAAAAAAAUCUCAUGCAGUUCUACAUUUCUUCAUGCAACAUGGAAGGAACGUAGACUGGUUGAGAGGAAUUUGGAAAGAUCUGUGUCUCAAAGUUAGCAGAACACUGACUGGAUUAAAAACGGGACCUCUGAAAAAUCAAGAAAGACAGACUGCAAAGGUCACAGCCUUCUAGAAGACCCAAAGACUAUCUGAUUUGAAAGCAGUGCUCAGUACUUGCCUGGGAUACUACUGCAGUGUAGAUUCUCAACACAGGAAACAUUUUCAGAAAUGAACUCUCAAGUCCAUACUCACCAGUCCCACUACUGUACACAUUAGAAUGCCAUUCCAAUGUUGAAUUAAAGAUGCGUCACUGCCACCACCUA
ensembl:antisense